ACUAUAAUACAAAAUGUGUUCUAAUUUUAAGAAAAUUUCAUAAUGUAGUAAAAAGGUUUAUUAAAAAAUGGAUUUCAUAAGGCAUACCCAAAACUAAUCAACAGGUACCCAUCUCAUCAAGUGCAUUCCAGGGGCAGGCGAUGUGAGCUGGGUGGUACCUUACCCAGUUGGAACACCAGAAUCCUAAAACCAAAUUGUUGGUUUUGGUCCACAAUUUGCUGUGUGCCUGAGUGCACUAUGUAUUUAUUUUUCAAAUGGAUGUUUUAGCAACCAGCUGAGGCCUCUGCUUCCUUCAAAUAUGCCACAAUCCUAGUUACUUCCUCCUCCUCCUUCCCUCCAGUGGGCCCAAAGUGCAAACGUAAGUAACAGAGUCCCCCCAGUAAAGGCUGACAGCCCUGUGAGCAGGCUGCUUCCCCCAGCUGGGGCAGGCCUUUUAAUAUGUACCAGCUCCCCGCCCCCCCACAAAUGAGUCUCAGUUCCCACCAUAGCUUUGCAGAACUUUACUUGGCUAGAAGGAUCUGUCUCCUGCAAAGUAGACAAUUAAAAUAGAUUUUUUAAUUUGCAGAUAAACACAUCUUAAUGCAGCGAUAGCUCUUGAACUUCUCACUCCCAGCCUAAUCUUUAAUUUGUCCCAGAAAUGCAGAAACCUUGAAGUGUUCUUUAAAUAUAAAGAUCAAAAAGAAAAAUAAAAAAAAGGCACUAAAAGCUUUAAAAGAUACCUGUCCAAAUUACCCUAUAAAGAGCCCUUUAAAAAACAAAACUCCACAUUCCCAGAGAUUAACUGCAGGGGAUCUAUGUUGAGAGUGAUGUGAUGUUGUCAUGAAUGAUCAUGAUAACCGACAAAACGACAAAACGGAAUCAGCCUCAGUGUGGGGCCUCACAGUUAAAGAAGUAAACAGAAAAAAAAAAAAAAAAAAAAGGUCUCCUGUGUAAGAAGUGUUUCAACAUGAACUGCUGUCAAAGGGGGUUUUAAAGUAAAACCUGGUUGGGAAUGUAGCUCAGUGGAUGAGCCUCUGCCCUGGGUUCCAUCCCCAGCACUGAAAAAAAAAAAUAAAGUAAGAAAAGAAAAGAAAAAAAUAAAUAAAAAGAAAGAAAGAAAAGAAACCAAAGCAUGGAAGAACUGCUUCCUAUGUACAGUGGAAAAGUUUACCCAAAUGACAAGCUGUCGUGUGGGGACGUCUCAACAACAUUCUAGUUUGUUUCCUCAGAUCAAAAAGCAGAGACACAAGCUCAGCAUUUCUAUCUGUGCUGUGGGUCAUCUUCCCUGUUCCCUGGAGUAAUCAUAUGCUGCAUCCAUGAAGCAACUGUCUAACACCUGAAUGUUCUCAGUACAAAGACCAGUGGGGUCAUAUGACAAGGCUAUAUUUAGAGAAGGACUCUGUUUUCUGUUUUGCUCAGCCCUCACCAUUUUCUGCUCCAAAGAGGAGUUUCAAAUGCACAUUGAUCUUUCUCAUUUCGUGAAUGAACUGAAUUAGCACCUGUUUUCAACUGCCAAAAAAUGCACUUUUAUUUUUUUUAAAUGGGGAAAGAGAAGUCUGUGUGCUGUUAAGUCAACAUGGGAGGAACAAAAGAAAGAGGAUUCUCCCUUUUGGCAGAAACCUACAGUCACUUGAGCUGUAACUGGGAUAUCCCGGGGAAGAGGUCAGGUCCUGGCGGAUGUAUCAGCACCCACGCAGGAAAACACCAAAAUGUGUUUGCUAAAUCAGGGGAGGAAGCCCAUCCCUCCGAGGACAGUUGGAGAUAUGAUAGAGCACUUGCCAGGCAUGCGCACCCUGCUUCAAAACCAGCAUGAGGGCGUUGGGGGCAGGGGUUGAAGAGGUUCAACUAUGAAGGUGUAAAGCCUUCGCCCACAAAACAGAGGUGCCAAAGGCAGUGCUAAAAGACAAGGAUGACUUCGCAUUUAGAGAUGGUGACACUCUUGGGACAUACAUAGACUAAAAUGAAUGACUGCUGAAGCUGCCACCGAUGCAGUUCUGAAAGCUCUCAGCAUGUACAUAAUCCCCAGGCCUCUCUUUUAGAAUCCACUGAUAUCUAAUCUAAUAAUAAUAGGAACUGAAAAGAUAAAGCUCAGCGUGCUGCGUCCUGCGCCCUCCUGGAAGGGGCGGAGUCUCGUUCCCAGGUUCUCCUGGGGACUGUGCCCAGGUCUAGUGUGGAGGAGGCCCGGGAGCGAGGUCGAGCCUCUGCGGAGCCCGGUGUUCGGGAGCUGGACUGUGAGGCUCGGGGCAGAGAAUGCAGAACAUGAACUGUUCCACUUUCCAGCUAAUAUUUGAGCACCUGCUGUAUGUGAAGUGUCGCUCAAGAAUCAGACAAAGUCCUGGCCCUCCUGGAACCCGUGGUCUCGACAGAGAAGGCAGACGUCAGACUAAACCUCCCUGGACGGCUGCCCUCUCGGACAUCCAGACACCCGGAAGGUUCUCAAGCUCAGCGCCCCCCACCAGGAGCCCCCCGGCC